rnacentral:rRNA from 1 species
UACGUAGGAGACGAGCGUUGUCCGGAGUUACUGGGCGUAAAGGGUGCGCAGGUGGCCGCGCGCGUGGGGAGUGAAAUCGCCUGGCUUAACUGGGCGGGGGCUUUCCAGACGGCGUGGCUUGAGCCACAGAGGGGGGCCUGGAAUUCCGGGUGGAGCGGUGAAAUGCGUAGAGAUCCGGAGGAACACCGACGGCGCAGGCAGCGCCCUGGACCAGCACUGACACUGAGGCACGAAAGCGUGGGGAGCAAACAGG